UGGGGAAUUUUGCACAAUGGGGGAAACCCUGAUGCAGCGACGCCGCGUGAUUUAGAAGGCCUUCGGGUUGUAAAAAUCUUUUCUAUGGGAAGAAAAUGACAGUACCAUAGGAAUAAGGACCGGCUAAUUACGUGCCAGCAGCCGCGGUAAUACUUAAGGUCCGAGCGUUGUCCGGAAUCAUUGGGCGUAAAGGGUACGUAGGCGGGUAAGCAAGUUAGAAGUGAAAUCCUAUAGCUCAACUAUAGUAAGCUUUUAAAACUGCUCAUCUGGAGGUAUGGAAGGGAAAGUGGAAUUCCUAGUGUAGCGGUGAAAGGCGCAGAUAUGAGGAGGAAUACCGGUGGCGAAGGCGACUUUCUGGCCAUAACCUGACGAUGAGGUACGAAAGCGUGGGUAGCAAACAGG
rnacentral:rRNA from 1 species